ACCCUUUUGUUUCUCUGGCUUCUAUCCCACCCCCAGCAAAUUCCCACAUGGCAUCUGGGAAUCAAAGAAUCUUUACCCUAUAAAAACAAAAUCAGGGCCAUAGCGCCAGAGACACAGAGAGAGAGUGGAGACCCACAGACCACGGCCGGCACUGCAGGUAGUGGUGGCUUCAGAAGUUGGUGGCUUUUGCACUUCCUGGGAGCCCUGAAGGAAAAGCCCAGACUCGGUGUCCGAAAAGCCCUUUGCUGCUCACUGUGUGGCUACAGGUAGCUCUGGGGAGCCCAGUGGGGGCGGGUGGGCACAGGUUGGGCAGAUGAGGAGGAGAAGCAGAGGGAGGCCCAGCAUUGCCCAGUCCGGACUUUGUCCCACGGGGAGGGCUCAGGCUGGGAUUUUGGGGUGUAAGGACUCUAGCCACCCCGAGGACCAUGGGGGUGUCACAUGGACAUCUGCAUUGGGGGCCUGGCUAGGGAGCCCACAGAGUCCAGGAAAGCCCAUGGUUAGAUGGUAAUUCUGGACCAAGGAGCCCAUUGCUCUUGGGGUUCAGCUCAGGGCCUUUGCAUCUGCCAUUGCCUCUGCCGGGCAAAACUCUUCCCUGCUUAGCACAUGGAUGCAAAACCUCGCUGGCCUCUCAGCCUCUUGCUUCUUUUUUUUCCUGUUGCUCCUGUCACUUAUUUCUGUUUCUUAUCUGUUUCUUCCAACUAAUAUACAAGGGAUCUUGAAUGUCGUUUCACUGCCACCGCCCCAGGGCCUGAAAAGAAACUAUCACGCAAAGGAAAUAAAUAGAUGCGUGAAUCAUCAAUGAGCGGACAACAACCUGGGGCUGCUGAGUACCGUCCGUCGGGGUGUGGACUGCACAACUCUGGAGGUCACCAUUCUGAAGGACGGUGCUCCAAGAGCAGGCCACCGUGUAUGGCCCCACUGCACACAGCAGUCCUGGGCUCCUCUGUAACCCCACCAUGCUUGCCCCCUGCACGGCUGUGCUGGCUCUGCUUUCUACUUCCAGACUUGUCCCCCCCCCCCCCCCCCUCCAUUUGCACUGAGUUUUCCACUUCUGAUGCCCAAGAGUGAGUCCAGUCCAUCUGGCUGUCUGCUUUAGGCUGGGUCACGGGGGCUCUGGUCAGCUUGCAAUGGUGGCAGCCAUGUGACCGCCUUUCACCUGCCUGUUUCUGGCUGGGGAGGGACGGCAAGGUUGCCUGUGGUGGCUGCCCACCUACUUCCUUCCUGGGCCCCUGCAGACCCUGAGAAAUGCUCUCAUUUCACUCCCACACCUCCCCAAGAAGGUGGCACCGAUUAUACCCACUUCACAGGUGAACUGUCUGAAGUUGUCAGGGUGACUGAGUUCAAAUGUGACUUCUCGCUCUCUGCUCGUGUAACCCUAGGCAGACUGCGUAAUCUCGCCGAGCCUCAGUUUCCUCAUCUGUAAAAUGCACAUAACAAUAAUCCCUCUUUUGAAAGAGGCGUGUGGAUCAAGUGAGGCGAUACAGGUAGCAACGGCUGUCGGCUGUCGGUGCAACGUCUGUGAGCACAUGCUCCUCUUCUCUGGCCCAGAAGUGCUGGUGCCUGGUGUGCAGAGAGCUGGGGUGUGGGCGCAUGCUGUGCACCCCUAGUUUGUGUCCCUGGGGCUCAGCUAUCAUGUGAGCAGAGAGGGAGGAAAGAAAGCAGCCACGCCUGUGUUCCAAGCAAGUGUUCUUGUAAGUCUGCAGCCAACUGCCAAAGCCCUGUGGCCACCUGAUCACCCUGAGCCAUGGGGUUCUAAGAUGAGCCCCACCCUCAGAGUGGGGACUCGGGGUGGGGGGACAGCUGCCAUCACACAGUGGUAGCAGAGUUCGGGGGACGAUCCCACCCCUGAUUUCGAGUCAGGCGUUGCUCCAGACGAACCCUACUUGCUCUUGGAGAGUUCAUUCAUGCGUUCACAACAUACACGGCACUGUUUUGGAAUCUUUUCACAGCAAGGAACAAAUCAGAACAAAAUCUGUACCCACAUCUUAGUGGAGGAAGAGAGACAAUAAAAAAUUAAACAUGUAAGUACACAUUAUGAGUGGUGGUAAACACAGAAAAUGGGGAUUGUUCCUGACAGGGUGAAGGGAAGGUAUCAAUCAUGAAAUUAUAUUUGAGCAGAGCCCCAGAGGAGGUGAAAGGGGACAUAGAUAUUGGGAGACAAGCUUCCUAAGCAGAUGGAUCAGCAAGUGCAAAGGCCCUGGUGUGGGCAUUAUGCUAUAAGACAGAAUUGAGGACACAGCUGAUGUUUCUUAGUGUAGCAUUCCAGAUGGAGUAUAGGAUGCCUGGUUAUGCUGGAAUCACAGUUAAACAAUGGCCAAUUCUAAUAUAAGGAUGUCCCAUACAAUUUGGGACAUAUUUAUACUAAAAAAAUUUAUUCAUUGUUUAAUUGAAAUUAAAAUUUAACUGUGUUAUAUUUUUAUUUGCUAUAUCUGGUGAAUCUCUUCAGUGGUCAGUCAUCGUGUAAGGCACAGAAAUAAAGAUCUUGGUGCUUCUACAAGGGGCCCUGGCUGGAAGACACAGGGAGUCAGCACAGGGGGGCCUGGCAGUGGAUGCUGGUCUUGCUGUUUGGGACCGUGGGCCUUGGCUGAGCCCUCCGCCUUAUGAGCCUUCCUAACUCAGCUGGAGGUGGGAGACGCAGUAUCUGAUUCCGGGGGCAGUAGGAAGAUCAGAGAUGAGCUUCAGGCAGCACGCCUUUAAUCCCAGCUCCUUGGGAGGCUGAGACAAGGUCACAAGUUUGAGUUCAGCCUGGGCAUCAUGGAGAGGCCUGGUCUCCAAAUGAAAAAUAAAAAGUUCUGAGGACAUAGCUCAGCGGGCCCAACCCCCAAUACUGCCAGAAACCCUAAAACAACAACAACAACAACAAUAACAAAACUGGAGUGAAACCGCAAACCUUUCUGCCCUGUCGCCUUGUCAUUGACACUAACUCCUAUCAAGCUUCGUAUUGUGUAUUGUGUACGAGAUGUGCUCGCAUCUGCUGAUCUUCUGAAACUAUCUUUUCACAUGAGUCUUGCUUAAAAAGACAUUUCACCAAGAGGGAGGCAAUAAAGAUAAAACUUGAAGUAAAAGAAACAGCAAUUUUUUUUUUUUUUGUACCAGCGAUUGAACUCGGGUCCUUGCACUUGCACAGCAGGCGGCGAAACCACUGAGCUAAAUCCCUGGCGCAAAAGGACGAUUUUUUUAAAAAUGAGCAGAAACACAGCAAGGGCAGUGAGGGAAGAGAACAGAGACAGCGAGCAGAACUGCGGAGUGGUGACCCGGGAGUUGAAAGCCCAGAGGACUCCCUGCCUGCACUGACUCACUGUGGGACUCGGGGCUGAUGGUUUCUCUCUGGGUCUCAAUUUCUCUAUCUUCAAGAUGAAGGCACUGAACCAUAGAUCUACAGAAUUUUAUUGUAACUGACGGAAAGCUCAGCACACAUUGGCUUGAACAGCCAAGUCCUGGGUGGGACUGGCUUCAGGUUCAGCAGGCUCCAGCGGCUCAUGGUGCUGUCCGUCUGCUGCCUUUUUGCUUGCUUCUCUAUAUAUCUAGCUCUCUCUCUCUCUCUCUCUCUCUCUUUCUCUCUGGCUGUCCUUCAAGGGAGCAGGUAGACAUUGCUUUAAAGAUGGGGAGUCCCCAAACAGAAGAGGUUCAAAUGUCACUGGGAGGAAGGAGACGCUGAUAAGCUAGAGCAAUGAACAUUCCUGCUCUUAAAAAAAGAUUUCUGGUUUUUGAUGUUUCUGCAGGGAGAGGAGUUUAUCAGAUCUGUCACCAGCCCAUGGGCAGUUUUCAGCUACUCACUUUGCAGCCCUUGAGGGGCUUGCAGGGAGUUGCUUGACCAGGUCCUUUGGCUGCAUAAGGGCCGUGCCUUCUUCAAACCCCAUAGCACCCUUUGAAAGGCCAGGGGCACCCUGGGUUUGCAGAAGGGACUGGUAGCUGUGUUGUCACAUGCACGCCCAGGUUGCCAGCCUCUCCAGAAACUCAGAACUCUCUGGUAGCUUUGGAAUCAAAUUCCUGGACCGCCUCCCCGUGGGAAUGAGGUCUGUUCACUGUGGUGCCCACUCCUCGUGAAUCCAGGAGAGGAUGCCCCUUGAAUCCAGUGUCCCUUGCCACUUGUCAUCAAGUCUGUGCUCACGUGGGGUUGGGAGGAAGGUAAAUGUUCCUUGGGCUUUCUACUGUGGGCCCUGCAUCUCUUCGCUGGUGACCUGGCUUCUGCCUUAGGCGGUAAGCGUGUGUGACUUCUGCCAUAAAGGAGGCAGGGAAGAGGGGUGAAGAGGCACUCUGUAUACUCCCUGAACACUGAUAGGGCACCUGCUAUGUGCAAGUGCCCCCAGCACCGGGAGAGACACAAGCCUUCUGUCGGGUGAGCUCCAGUGAAGGACUCAGGUCCUCGAGAGGGUCAGCACAAAGGUGAAACACACCACAGCGGUGACCAGAGACCCAUCGACUAAAAACCAGGCCUCAAGAUAAAGACAAGAGGACCAGACCUACAUACUUCCUCAAAGAACAAACACUGGGCCUAAUGAAGUCUAGAUAGACAUCAGCCACCCUGGUGGGUGACCAGAGAUCUGUGAACCCCCCACUUCCUAGGAGAAUCUUUGUUCUUUCCAUCUACGCUUCUUAGGUGGCUUGUUUCCCAAUUGAACCACCAUUACCUAAGUGCCUACACUUGUAACCUGAUUGGAUGUUCAUGGAUGUGUCCCACGUUGUACGUACGUGGGUUUCACCCUAUAAAACUCCUCUGUAAAGCAGGGUCCCGGGCUACCCACUUGGGGGUAGCCUGCCCCUCGGGAGCUCUCCUAUCCAUAAAUACCUUCUACUCUUAACCCCUGUUGUUCCUAGAACUCAUCGAUUUCUAGAGAACAACAAGAGCUCAGUGUAUCAUACAGCUAACAGGUUGGGAGAUGUAAUAUUUCAUAUUUCAUCUCUGGUAUUAUUUUUUGUAACAGUUGGGGGAAUCAGUUAAUUAAAAUUAUAGCUGACAGAUUAUUCAAUUGUCAGUGUGAAGCCUCCAACAAUUCGUUAAUUGUGACCUCAGGAAUUUAGAGCUCUGCUCCUCGACACGAACUCCAGCAUGAGCAGCACCAGCAGCAGCAGCCUUGGGGAACAGGUUACCAGCCUGGAGUCUUGGGCUCUAUGCAUCUUAAAGCAAGGGAGAAAGGGCUGCUCCCAGGUCCCUGAGCUCGGCUGAGACCUGCGCCGUGCAGACACGUGCAGCAUCCCAUCCCGGCUUGGUCGGGGAUUACCUGGGGGUCUCUGGGCAAGUGAGUCGUGGUCUUCUCAGUGAGGGGAGAGCAGAAGAGGCUGCUCCGUGGGAAGGGGACAUGCAGGAGGUAGUAUAGUCCAGUAGAUGCCACACGCAGGAGCAAAUGCUAGCUUCCAGGGAGCCAGGACCUCUGAGUCAGCUCUUGAAGGAGGAGUGGAAAGGGGCUCCCUCUAAAGCUGAACCAAAGACAGUUAAUGCUCAAAACCAAAACAGGCUUUUUCUGAGAGAAGAAAUAACAGCUGCGAUGGGAAUAAACAAAACCGCAGCUUCCUCUCACUGUUUGCAAGGCUCUGGAAUUCCGCUGUGAUGUCAGCCUUCUCUGAACGGUGUGCGUGUGUCUGUCUUUCUGUGUUUUCCAUUUGGAGCUGCGGCUAUGACCACAUAUGUUUAAGACCAAUAGAGGAUGUUGAGUCUCCAAAAACACCCCAGGAGGAGAGAGUGCAAGGAACCCAGAGCGCCUGCACGGUGAAGGGUUUGCACAGGAACGAGAAUUACAGGAUUUUCAAGCGCCAGUGUGAGUGAGCAUAUUCCUGCCCCUCUAUUCCCUGUCGGGGCUUGAGGACCUCAUCAUCUGGCCUUGGCCAGGUGGGGUGCACAGAGGUGCCGGCUCGGACAUGCCCCCCCUGCUGUGCCAGGCACCCCGUGGGGAAACUGGGCUUCCAUUUGGGCAGAUGAAGUGAGAGUUCUGGGGGAUGAAGAUGAGGUCCCCACCUUCUCUUUGUCGCCUUGGAGACACACACUGUGGGAUGUGCAGGAGAUGUGUGCCAUGGAAACUCCUGAUGGUAACUGAGAUGGAUCUGUGCCCCAGGCUUCACGCAGGGAAGUUGAAUUAUGGGAGUUGAAUUAACGUUGGACUCCUCAGAACAACCAUGGGAGUGAGGAGCAAAGAUGGCUUCUCUGGGGGUCCUGGGCUGAGGGGCCUAGGAAGCUCCUUUGGUGCCUGCCCAGUGAGUGGCCCCAGUCCACCCUUAGGACCAUUCUACUGUACGUAUGGAGCACCUGCUGUGUGCCAGGCCCAGGUGGGCUCAGUGGAACAUGACAAAAGAGUUCUUCCACCCACGCUACCACCAUCGUGAGUUCCGGUUCGAUUUAUCCAAGAUCCCGGAAGGGGGAAGCUGUGACUGCAGCUGAGUUCCGGAUCUAUAAGGACUAAGCAUCCGGGCAACGCUUUGAUAAUGAGACCUUCCGGAUCAGCGUCUACCAGGUGCUCCAGGAGCACUUGGGCAGGGAGUCAGACCUCUUUCUACUCGACAGCCGCACCCUCUGGGCCUCCGAGGAGGGCUGGCUGGUGUUCGACAUCACGGCCACGAGCAACCACUGGGUGGUCAACCCUCGGCACAACCUGGGCCUGCAACUUUCAGUGGAGACUCUGGAUGGGCAGAGCGUGAACCCUUAAGCUGGCGGGCCUGAUCGGGCGGCAUGGACCCCAGAACAAGCAGCCCUUCAUGGUGGCCUUCUUCAAGGCCACGGAGGUGCACUCCUCCGCAGCGUGCGGUCCACGGGGGGCAAGCAGCGCAGCCAGAAUCGCUCCAAGACGCCCAAGAACCAGGAGGCGCUGAGGAUGUCCAGCGUGCCAGAGAACAGCAGCAGCGACCAGAGGCAGGCCUGUAAGAAGCCUGAGCUGUCACGUCAGCUUCCGAGACCUGGGCUGGCAGGACUGGAUCAUUGCGCCUGAGGGGCUAUGCCGCCUACUACUGCGAAGGGGGAGUGCGCCUUCCCCUCUGAACUCCCUACAUGAACGCCACCAACCACGCCAUCGUGCAGACACUGGUCCACUUCAUCAACCCGGACACCGUGCCCAAGCCCUGCUGUGCUCCUACCCAGCUCAAUGCCAUCUCUGUCCUCUACUUCGGACUGACAGCUCCAAUGUCAUCCUAAAGAAAUACAGAAACAUGGUGGUCCGGGCCUGUGGCUGCCACUAGCCCCUGAUGGAAGUCCUGCCCUUGGGGUCACGUUUAUUUGAGUCUGCACUGUGGCACUGCCCAGCAUCUCCGCCGCCCACCUUGGCAAGGAACCAGCAGACUGAUCAUCUUCUCCGGGGGCCUCCCUGUCCCUCCCCAGUUUUACAGGUCUAAGAGUGCUAGGAAUUGGAGCACCAAGUGGCUUUUGAUCCAUUUUUCAUCGGUGGCACCCUAAGGACAAGAUCCUGAGCUACUACAGGCAAAAUCUGGCAGGAAACACAUCUGUGAGGAAAGAUCACUCAGCCGCGGUCAUCAGCUGUACUGUCCCCGCCACACCCUGACUUGUUCCAGAGAUGAUUAGGACGCCCUUCAGCCAGGUGACCAGCCACCAGCUGCAGGAGGAGGGACAUGGCCAGGGUGGGCACCUGUGUCUGUGCUGAAGGGAAACAUGCAGAAUUCUUUGUAAUAAAUGUCACAAUAAAACCAAUGAAUGAAAAUGGUUAGGAUGUUACAGGUAUAUUUUCCUAAACGAUUUAUCCCUGCUUCUGGGUUUAUUCUGACUUUAUGAACAGCAGCGGUGGCCGGUGGAGGGCAAGGAGCCCCUUCUGUUCUGUUCCGGUGUCAGCUUGAGGCUGCAGGGCCUGUGUUCACCCAGAUCCCACUGCAGGGGCCGGCGGUGUGAAUGUAUGCUGGAGGGGCUCCCUGUCACCCUUCUGCAGGUGUGUGCUGGCAGAAGUGAGGCGUGACAGGACGGGAUGGGUCCUCCGGCCUCCCCUGCUGUAGGGAGCAGUUUGAAGUAGUGGAAUAGACAAGGACAGACAAUAGUAUGGCGCUUGCGACUUCAGCGUGGUGUUAACACAGAAGAAACGUAACUGUCACCGGCUUCUCCGAGCAGGGCCCUUGGCGUCUCCUCUCGGACGAUGCCCCGACUAGGGUCCUGCCAGGGGCAUUGAGGCUGCCUCCUUUUGCUUCUUGACCCCUAGCAGAGAGCUCUGCAGACAGAUUUGCUGCUUGAAGUAAGAGACAGGCCAGUGGGAAGGCUGAUGGGCACAGGGCAUGCUGGACUCGAGUCGCAAACAGAAGGAUCUAGAUCAGUGGUGGCGAACCUUUUAGGGACGGACUCCCCAACUGCAACCCAAGACCUGCUUAUUUAUCGAAAAGUGCCAACACUGCCGUUAUACCCGGACACUGAAGUUUUAGUUCAGAAAAACCAACUCAGACGCUUGGCUAUGGCGUGCUGACAGAGGGCUGUGUGUGCGCCGCUGCCACCCGCCUGCCAUAGGUUCGCCACCACUGAUCCAGAGAGCGACCUCCUAAACGAAUGCCCUGAUUUGGGGUGGCGGUAUCUGUGCUGCAGCUCUGGUGCCAGCCCCCUUGGCUCUGCUGCUCACCCCGUAAAGGGGUGUGUGUACCAGCCCCCAGCUGUAAGCGCAAGGCCUAGGGAGGGGCUGGGCUGCCCUGGGACACUUCCCACAUCUGCUCAAAGAACACAGCUCAUUUCCCAGGCACGACCCGGGCCGGGGGAACCUGGCCCUGGGGAAGCUGUUCUCCAGCUCCAUCAAGUCAGUUCCUAGAACCACACUGGCUUAGCUUUUGUUCUCUGUUCUUUUUCUUCUUUAGUAGCUUGGGCUGCAGCUCUCACUACCUGGCUGCUGAGGGAUGAGAAUUUUUGUUAGAAUUGUUCUGUUGUUGGCAGAUCUGGGGCUCUCUGUGGGACUCCUGCUUGGUGUGAGUUUUUCCACUACUUUAGUGCCCCCCGCCGGCCUCUUUUGCGCAUUGUUUGUGCAUUAAAACAUGUAAAUAGUUGUGAUGACAGAGAUUAUUUAUUUCCAUCUGAAGCUCUUUUGCAAACCCUCCUUUCAUCCCUUGUUCAGAACAACGAGCUUGCUUUCCUCCAACCUGUUUGUUUUCUUAUUUAAGAUUAUUUAUUGAUGAUUGGACCGAUGUACCCAUGGCUGUCGCAUAGAGCAGCCCUUAGUGACAAUUCUGUAUAAAUAAACACAAUAAAAAAGGGUUUUGACUUUGCAAUAAAAGGAGUCAUUUGGUUCUGGUUCUUGGGCUGUGUAUGUGUAUGUAUUGCUUCUCUGUACACUCCUGAACCCUGGGACUUCUCCCCAUUAGCAUGCUGUUUAUCUUGGGCCUGGG
rnacentral:lncRNA from 1 species